ensembl:lncRNA
GCCAUGCCACAGUGGGCCACAUGGGGAAGCACCAGGGCCAGGCGGGCGGCAGAGGGAGCAGAGAAGCCCUUACCGUGGUUUCCAGGAGAAGGAACAGGAAAACCCGAAGGCCAUCCCAGCAGGAGCCGGGCGUUCAGAGGCUCCUGGUGCCACCGGGCCUCUCGAAGGGUGCUCGUGCCCUCUUCCCAGGCUUGCUCCAUCUUUCUGCUCGGAGUGGGCAUUCCAGACUCGAGCGCCUGCCUUGGUGGGGGUGGGGUGGGCAGCCAGGCGUAAGUGAUCUGCAGGGACUGCGUGCGCAACUAGAGGCGCAACCGGCCCCUUAGCUGAGUGCGCAAGCCCACUGCGCGGGGUGGUGCAUUCUGGCGUCGCUGGGCUGCAGCCUGCCACGCUGGAAAGAGACUGUGACAUCGUCUAAUUCAAUCCGGCGACUUCAGAGGUUUUAAAUGGCCCAGCCAAGGUCAUGCGAUAAGCGAGUGGAAGGACCGGACCUGGGCACUGCGGUGGAGGAGACCAGCUCAAGCAUUUGGAGACAGUCCUGGGUUCGAACCCAGACUCUGACAGUGUCUCAUUUUCGGACCUCAAGCAAGCUGUUUCAACUCCGUGCUUUCGUUUCCUCGUUUCUAAAAUAAAUGAUAGCAGCCCUGCGUCAUGGGGACCCUGGGAGGAUUAACGGAGAUGGUGCAGGCGCAGGAUGGCUGCCUUCUCGUAUCCUCGGAUCGGGGAGAGAGAAGCAAGCUCUCUCAUGUCUUCUUAUAUGGACACUAAUCCCAUCACGGGGGCUCCACUCUCAUGACCUAAUCACCUGCCUGAGGCCCCACUUCCUAAUCUCAUCACACAGGGAUGGAGCCUUCAACUUACAAAUUUUGGGGGGCACACAAACAUUCAGUCCUUGGAAGGCCUGUUGACUUCCUGUGUCUAAGCCUCGGUUUCCUCGUCUGUAACACGGCGGCAAUAUGAGCAUCCGCCUCACAGGACAGUAGUGAGGAUUAAAUGGGCUGAGCUCUGCAGCUUGCAGCUCAUGGCCCUCACUCAGGAACAGCUGGUGCCCUCUGAUGGCUAGCAUUAUACUUUUACCCCCGAUAUUUACCAGGGAGGAGGAAAAUCAAGCACAGUAAGUGCUUUAUCUAUGACCUUUCCCUCAACCUGAAGGUCAAACUCCAGGGCUUCUUGAAAAUAAGAAGAUGAUCAACAGAGAAUCAGCAGUGACAAAUACUUGUCAUGCCACAGAUUUAAAAAUCGAGGCUCAGAGAGUGACUUGCCAAAAGCCACACAGCAUGAGAUGGAGAGCAACUGGAAUGAGAAAGGGGAGGCUCCGGAAAGCAGGGCUCUCACCUGACGUCCCACGGCCAAGAAGCAGCCAAGCUGCCAUCAAAACCCAGAUUCCCUGACGCAAAUCCAUGUGUGGCGUGACCAAUGGCUUGAGUGUGUUCCCAUGAUGGGGCUUCCGUGCCAUCACUGUGAGGAGAGCAGGCCUGGCUUAGCCCACCGGACCCCAGAGGAAGAUGAGAGGCACGUGGAGCAGAGCUGUGUUGCCCAGGUGAGCCUGAGAUGAAGGGGCCAGCAGACACAGGACCAGCCCAGCUAAGAUCAGUGACCUCCAGCUGAUCCAUGAGCUAAAUAAAUGCUGAUUGUUGCGUGCAGCCAAGGUCCUGGGCGUGCUUGUUACGCAGCAUCAUCGUGGGUAGCUUAUCCAUCAUCCCCGCAGUGUUCAG